rnacentral:rRNA from 1 species
GAUGAACGCUGGCGGCGUGCCUAAUACAUGCAAGUCGAGCGAACAGACGAGGAGCUUGCUCCUCUGACGUUAGCGGCGGAUGGGUGAGUAACACGUGGAUAACCUACCUAUAAGACUGGGAUAACUUCGGGAAACCGGAGCUAAUACCGGAUAAUAUAUUGAACCGCAUGGUUCAAUAGUGAAAGACGGUUUUGCUGUCACUUAUAGAUGGAUCCGCGCCGCAUUAGCUAGUUGGUAAGGUAACGGCUUACCAAGGCAACGAUGCGUAGCCGACCUGAGAGGGUGAUCGGCCACACUGGAACUGAGACACGGUCCAGACUCCUACGGGAGGCAGCAGUAGGGAAUCUUCCGCAAUGGGCGAAAGCUUGACGGAGCAACGCCGCGUGAGUGAUGAAGGUCUUCGGAUCGUAAAACUCUGUUAUUAGGGAAGAACAAAUGUGUAAGUAACUAUGCACGUCUUGACGGUACCUAAUCAGAAAGCCACGGCUAACUACGUG